AGGUGGCUGAAAUUUUAAGCAUUAGACUUUUAAUCUAAGGAUGAUAUAUAAGUAUCCCU
rnacentral:tRNA from 1 species